CCUACGGGAGGCAGCAGUGGGGAAUUUUGGACAAUGGGGGAAACCCUGAUCCAGCCAUGCCGCGUGCGGGAAGAAGGCCUUCGGGUUGUAAACCGCUUUUGUCAGGGACGAAACGAUCGGGACUAAUACUCUUGGUUAAUGACGGUACCUGAAGAAUAAGCACCGGCUAACUACGUGCCAGCAGCCGCGGUAAUACGUAGGGUGCAAGCGUUAAUCGGAAUUACUGGGCGUAAAGCGUGCGCAGGCGGCUUUGCAAGACAGAUGUGAAAUCCCCGGGCUCAACCUGGGAACUGCAUUUGUGACUGCAUCGCUCGAGUGCGGCAGAGGGGGAUGGAAUUCCGCGUGUAGCAGUGAAAUGCGUAGAUAUGCGGAGGAACACCGAUGGCGAAGGCAAUCCCCUGGGCCUGCACUGACGCUCAUGCACGAAAGCGUGGGGAGCAAACAGGAUUAGAUACCCUGGUAGUCCACGCCCUAAACGAUGUCAACUGGUUGUUGGACGGCUUGCUGUUCAGUAACGAAGCUAACGCGUGAAGUUGACCGCCUGGGGAGUCGGCCGCAAGGUUGAAACUCAAAGGAUUGACGGCUGAGAGNGCGAGNGACGACGAGGGAGGAGG
rnacentral:rRNA from 1 species